UACGGAGGGGGCUAGCGUUGUUCGGAAUUACUGGGCGUAAAGCGCGCGUAGGCGGACCUGCAAGUCGGGGGUGAAAGCCCGAGGCUCAACCUCGGAACUGCCUUCGAUACUGCGGGUCUCGAGUCCGGGAGAGGUGAGUGGAAUUCCUAGUGUAGAGGUGAAAUUCGUAGAUAUUCGCAAGAACACCAGUGGCGAAGGCGGCUCACUGGCUCGGUACUGACGCUG
rnacentral:rRNA from 1 species